rnacentral:tRNA from 1 species
GUCGUAGCUCAAAGGCAGAACAUCUGCUUGGCAUGCAGAAGGUCACAGGUUCAAUCUCUGGCAUCUCCA